GAUGAACGCUGGCGGCGUGCCUAAUACAUGCAAGUCGAGCGAACAGACGAGGAGCUUGCUCCUCUGACGUUAGCGGCGGACGGGUGAGUAACACGUGGAUAACCUACCUAUAAGACUGGGAUAACUUCGGGAAACCGGAGCUAAAACCGGAUAAUAUAUUGAACCGCAUGGUUCAAUAGUGAAAGACGGUUUUGCUGUCACUUAUAGAUGGAUCCGCGCCGCAUUAGCUAGUUGGUAAGGUAACGGCUUACCAAGGCAACGAUGCGUAGCCGACCUGAGAGGGUGAUCGGCCACACUGGAACUGAGACACGGUCCAGACUCCUACGGGAGGCAGCAGUAGGGAAUCUUCCGAAAUGGGCGAAAGCCUGACGGAGCAACGCCGCGUGAGUGAUGAAGGUCUUCGGAUCGUAAAACUCUGUUAUUAGGGAAGAACAAAUGUGUAAGUAACUAUGCACGUCUUGACGGUACCUAAUCAGAAAGCCACGGCUAACUACGUG
rnacentral:rRNA from 1 species